UACGAAGGGGGCUAGCGUUGCUCGGAAUCACUGGGCGUAAAGCGCACGUAGGCGGCUUCUUAAGUCAGGGGUGAAAUCCUGGAGCUCAACUCCAGAACUGCCUUUGAUACUGAGAAGCUUGAGUCCGGGAGAGGUGAGUGGAACUGCGAGUGUAGAGGUGAAAUUCGUAGAUAUUCGCAAGAACACCAGUGGCGAAGGCGGCUCACUGGCCCUGUACUGACGCUGAGGUGCGAAAGCGUGGGGAGCAAACAGG
rnacentral:rRNA from 1 species